AUUGAACGCUGGCGGAAUGCUUUACACAUGCAAGUCGAACGGCAGCACGGGGGCAACCCUGGUGGCGAGUGGCGAACGGGUGAGUAAUACAUCGGAACGUGCCCAGUCGUGGGGGAUAACGUAGCGAAAGUUACGCUAAUACCGCAUACGAUCUACGGAUGAAAGCGGGGGACCGUAAGGCCUCGCGCGAUUGGAGCGGCCGAUGUCAGAUUAGGUAGUUGGUGGGGUAAAGGCUCACCAAGCCGACGAUCUGUAGCUGGGCUGAGAGGACGACCGGCCACACUGGGACUGAGACACGGCCCAGACUCCUACGGGAGGCAGCAGUGGGGAAUUUUGGACAAUGGGCGCAAGCCUGAUCCAGCCAUUCCGCGUGCAGGAUGAAGGCCUUCGGGUUGUAAACUGCUUUUGUACGGAACGAAAAGGCUCUGGUUAAUACCUGGGGCUCAUGACGGUACCGUAAGAAUAAGCACCGGCUAACUACGUGCCAGCAGCCCGCAGUAA
rnacentral:rRNA from 1 species